rnacentral:rRNA from 1 species
AUACGUAGGGGGCGAGCGUUGUCCGGAAUGAUUGGGCGUAAAGGGCGCGUAGGCGGCUUUGCAAGUCAGUAGUGGAAGUCCAUUUUUCAAGGAUGGAAGUGCUACAGAAACUGCGGAGCUUGAGUGCAGGAGAGGUUAUCGGAAUUCCCGGUGUAGCGGUGAAAUGCGUAGAGAUCGGGAGGAACACCAGUGGCGAAGGCGGGUAACUGGACUGCAACUGACGCUGAGGCGCGAAAGUGUGGGGAGCAAACAGGAUUAGAUACCCUGGUAGUCCACACUGUAAACGAUGAAUGCUAGGUGUAGGAGGUAUCGACCCCUUCUGUGCCGCAGUAAACACAGUAAGAAUUCCGCCUGGGGAG